rnacentral:lncRNA from 1 species
UGAAUUGCAUUGCAUGAAAAUUGCGUGGGGAUCUUUUUAAUCUACUUGUGUGUUCUUUUUGUUGAUAAAUUUAUCAUGAGAAAAUAAAGGAUAACAAAAAUUUCUCCUUUUAAAUGUUUUAUUUAUUUUCCCUCAUUUUCUACAAAAAUGAAUUUCACCAUUUCUUAUUCAUGAACGAUGGAAAAGAAAGAUUGGAUUUAAAAAAAAAAUUAAUACUCCCUCCGUCCCUGAAAUAAGUUCCUCUUUUUCCAUUUUGGGACGUCCCCCAAAUAAGUUCUUCUUUCUUUAUUUCUAUUUUUGGACAACUACCCCACCACUAAUAAUACUUUAUUUAUUCUUACUUUUCACUUUUUCACCACUCCCAAUACUAAUUAUAACACUUUUUCACCUUUUCACCACUCCCAAUACUAAUUAUAACAUAUUUUUCUCCACUAUCAAUACACUUUACCAUUUUCCUUAAAACCCGUGCCGUCCCCAAAGAGGAACUUAUUUUGGGGACGGAGGGAGUAUCUUUUUUGUAUGAUAAAUUUAUCGAUCGAAGAGAACGUAUCUAAGUAAAAAUUUAUUUAAAAAGCUUCGCAGACGAUGUGAUCGGAUCAUCAGACGGCACAUUAUACUUUAGCGUUGGGAGCACGAAAUUCGGGUUCCAUAGUUGGCAGCUGGAUCUGCUGGAGACGGAGCCUCAUGGACGUCUCCUCAAAUACGACUUCUAUAAUUCUCGACGGUCUUGCGUUUGCAAACGGCGUCGCGCUCUCUGCGGACCAACAUUACUUGCUCGUCUACAAAACGUGGAAGUAAGUCUGCUUCAUUUUCAAAAAAUAACACACGCUAAUUAGAACGUUUUCAUAAUUGGAUCAGGUAUAGAUGUUUGAAAUACUGGCUGGAAGGAGACAAGAAGGGAGAAACAGAGAUUUUCAUUGCGGAAGGCCAGGCAACAUAAAUUUUUCUCCAUAUGGCUCCUUUUGGAUCGCAUUGCUACAAGUUUAACUUAAUUACUUUUUCUUUCUUUUUUUCUAUAGUUGAAACCUUAUUUAUGCAUUGCAGAGUAAUCCCAUGUGGUGUACAAUUUGCCUGGGUUGCAAUAUUUAACAGAAUUCCUUAGCUAAUGAGUGAUUAAUUCAGUUGAGAAAGCAAUGGUGGUGAAUGUAAGAAGCAAUGGGAAGAUGAUUAGAUGGUUUGAUGAUCUAACAAGAAAGAUGAUGAGGUUUGUAACUUCAGCGGUACAGUUUUGUACUUUGGCACUCUCUACAAUGACUUUGUUGGAAAAUUACCCCUAUAAUUCUCUAUUGCUACUCUUCAAUAAACUAUUUUCAUACUCAUAUUUUGCACUUAUCAAUGAAUGAGUUAAUCGUACUUUAUGUUUACAACUUUCGUCCUCUUUUGAAAAAUGUCAUCAAUUUAGUUUUCAUUUCAAAAACUCACAAUUUUGAAAUAAGUUUGCCCUUACAGAAUGCAACAAAAGAAUAAGUUAUCUCGCCGGACUUUGAGAUGGAUAUUAGGUUUAGGAUUUUCUUUUUCAUAUAAUUUUAUUGAAUAAUUUGAUUAUGAUGAGUUGAUUCAUUAUUCCAUCGUCAAAUUAUGUAGAGCGAUAUAUAAUUCAAUUUUUUUCUUUAUUUCAAUUAACCGGAAUUGUUUUUUAUAUUUAUGUAUUUAUAUAAUAUUGAUACCAAUUGUAUUAACUAUUAUCAUACUUAUAAAUAUAAAAAAAUAAUUGAAUAUGUUUGAAUUGAAUAUUGAAAAAAAUUAAAAAAAAUAAAGAAGAAUUUAAAAUUAUAAAAAUUGAUAUUGUGAAAAAGUAAAAAAAGUUAAAGAAUUAAAAUAAAAACAAAGAAUUGAAAAAUAGAUUUAGUUAAAAAAAUGGGAGAGGAGAUAGAAAUUUUUAAAAAUAUACUUAAUAUUUACAUUUCAAAUCAAACACUUACAUAAAAUAUAUAUCAAAUCAAAAGCUCUUAUCGUGAUCUUUAUUUUGAUAUACAUAUUAAAUAUUUUAUAAUUAGUCGAAUUUCAUAAUUUUAGAAAAAAUUAAACAAAAAAAUAAAAAGAAAAAAAAUAUAAUUUAUAAGAAAAUCUUCAAUUUUAAUAUAAUUUCAUUAUAUAUGCUAUAAGUAAUUUGUAGUAUUAGUUUAACUAGUAUGUGCCCGCUCGUGCGAUGCACGAUCAUCAUCGAAAUUGAACGAUAAUUUAAAUAAAUAAAUAAAAAAUGUUAAAACAUAUAUAUAUAUAUAUAUAUAUAUAUAUAUAUAUAUAUAUAUAUAGAGAGAGAGAGAGAGAGAGAGAGAAGGGUUCAACAGAGAAGCUAAAUAUUGUGGAGAAUAGAGAAGUCGUAAAAUAUAAACGAACAGAUCUAUAAUUUUAAUGAACAGAUCAAUGUACCGCAUGAACAACAAUUUGCCCCGGGUUCGAAUCCUGCUGGUGGCGAGUUUUUCUAUAUUUUUACUAAAUACGUCUGUUCAUUACUUAUGUUGAUCUGUUCGUAAAAUAUAUAGAUUUAUUCGUUCUCUCGAAAAAGAUAAUUCUUUGUUGAACUCAACCCUAUAUAUAUAUAAGUAAAUAUAAACAUAAAUGAUCUCAAUAAAAAAUAAAUUAUUCACAAUAUAAUCUCAAUAAAAAUAUCAAUCUGAAAACAUUCGAAUUUUCAAUUAUUGAAAUAGCAAUUAAUUGAUUUAAUUGAUAAUGUGUAUAAAUUUAUAAAUAAAUAAAUUAUGAAAUAUCAAAAGCAAGUAUAGAUGAUAAUGAGUAUCAUUAUGGAUCAUAUAAUAUUCUAAGAUGUACAAAACUAUUUAUUUACAUAUAGUAUAACUGUAGUUUAAUAUAGUUUUCGAAUGCAUAUUUAUGAGGUCAUUUUGUUUAUGCUCAAAUUUUAAAAUAAAGUUACAAUGUAUACAUUUUUUUUCAAUUGGAAAGUGAAAAAAUAAAGGGUUUAACAUGAGAUAUGUGUCGUUCAUUUUCCAAAAUAAAAUGUAUACAAUUUCAGUAAAUUUAAAUAAAUGUGCUACUAAAAAAUUAAACUCUUCAAUUUACUUUUAUUUUUUAUUUUUAAAGAAAAUCGAUAAUGGUUCUCUAAUUACUGAUUUUCCAAUGAGUAAUUUUGAAGCUUAAAAAUUCGAUUUUUAAGAUAUACUAUAUAUUAGUUAUUUAUCUACAAAUUUAUAUUAAUAUAAAGUUGACCUUUAAAAAAAUAUUUUUAAGCUAAAGAUUUCUAAAAUGAACAAAUAUAAGUUUCAUCAUUGUAAUUGCAUUAAACUGAUAUAAUAAAAAUAUAAAUAGUAAAAUAUAAAAAAUACUGAUCUAUAGUAAAAACAUAAAAAAUAAAAUAAAAAAAUAUGGAAAAAGGAAUGAAAGAACCGUGAAUUUUAAAAAAUGAGAAAUGAGAGAGGAGAGAAGAGAGAGGAGAGAGAAAAAAAUUAUUUGGUGACUUUAAACUAUAAUAACUUAUUGGUUUUAAAUUUAUUUUUUAUAAUUUUUACAUCAAAUUAAAGAUAUCGUCAUUAUCUUUAAUUUAACAUCCAUAUUGAAUAUUUUUUUAUAAAUUAAAGUUGAUGAAUUUAAAAGAAAAUCAAAUUGAAUAAAUAUAUUUGAAUAGUAUUUGAAUAGUGUUUUAAAAGAGAGAAGAGAGAGGAGUAAUAUAUUUUGUUGAAUUAGUGUGAACGUGUGAAAUGAGUUAGGGGUGUUAAUAAUUUUUUGUAACCUUCAUAUUAAAAGUAUUAUCAAAAUUGUCAUUCAAAUCAAUUUCAAAUUGAUUUGAAAUCAAUUUCUAAUUGAAAACUGAUGUUUUAAUAUAGUAUAGAUUUGUUCUAUUUUUUUUNGUAAUACAUCUUGAGGUUGACGAUAUGAUGUAGAUUUUAGUUUAGUGGGCCAAUAACAAAGCAGUCCAGUAGUCGUCGAAGUAUAAUCUGCGCUUAUAAGCCUCUGUGUGUCUUAAGCCUUAACUUCGCCUCCACCAAACUAGGGUUCUCUAUAUCAUCGGCGCCUCUUCUCCACAACUCUAGAUUUUCAGAGAGAAGACAGAAGAGAUGGGUCACUCUAACAUAUGGAACUCGCAUCCCAAGAACUACGGCCCUGGCUCACGCACUUGGUCCGUUCAAUUUGCUUUCUAAUUUAAUUUCCCUUUUUCUGAGUUCCUAACCCUUAUAUUGUUGUGAUGCAGCCGGGUUUGCGGAAACCCGCAUGGAAUUAUUCGCAAGUAUGGUCUCAUGUGUUGCAGGCAGUGCUUCCGCAGCAACGCCAAGGAGAUUGGCUUCAUCAAGGUCGCUUCUUUACUUCCUUUCCCCCUUUGUUGUUGUUCUGGAAUUUAUAUUCUGCUUUCAUGAUUUUUUUAUUUUUUGUUAAUAUAUUGUAUCCGUGUCUGUCUUAUGGUUUCUUAAUGCCUAGUUUAUCGAUUUUUUGUUGAAUGUUAUCCCGUUUUAAAGUUAUAUUGAUUUGAGUAGGUUGUUUAGAUUUUCGGAUUUAAGGAUGAACAUUCUAUGACGAUUGCCAAGAUACUCUGCCUGUUCUGUUCGACUAUGAAAGAGUCUUUCAUGCUUCUAAGCAUUUGAUCAAGUCCACAUAUAAUAUAAUGAUGGAAGUUGUAGCUUUUUCACAGCACAAUUAGCAUAAUUUGAUCAAUAUGCCAAAGUUUGUUAGGAACAGACCAUAUCGGUAUGGAUGUUUGUCAAUGCUGAUGUUUUGCAUGAUAUUAUUUUAUAUUUCAGGUGUUAUGGAAUUGUAAUUGCCUAGGUUUCCUUGGCUCUGAAAACACUACUUAUUGGUUAAGCUGGCAUUUGCCUAAAGUUUUUGUGGUGGAAUGAAUCUUAUCUAUGGAUCUCAUCUCCCCGGAUAAUAAUGUUGUUACAACUAUAUUAUCCAAGUGAUAUACUAAUAUCAACUCAAGAGUGUUUCUAACUGUGUUGUGUUGUGUUGUAAGUUGCAUAUAUGUCGUCUGAAACGUGCUAACCAUGACGCUUUCUCCUCCUGCAGUACCGUUGAUGGUGCAUGGAUGUUGAGGGCUUGAAGCAAAAUUGGAGGUUUUAGGAACUUGUUUGUUUAAGAUAAGCAUGGAUUCUUCAAUUUUUGGUUUUUGCUAGUUGAAUUCUUCCAGACAAAUUAUGUUUCUAUGUCAACUGUAACUUGUCACUUUUUUUUAUAGUACUUGCAGUCUUUAUAUUUAUGGUCUUGUGAGAUUGAAUUCUUCUAGAUAAAUAAGGCAGGAGAUUUUCAAGUGAGAUUGCUCGUCUCUUGAUAUAAAAGAAAUACUAACUUGGAUGUUUCAAAUGAGACGAGCGUUUAAUAGGAGCAACUUAACUUAAAAUAUUAUAUCUUGUGGAAGUGUUUAUAGACAAUUGAUGUGGUGAUCCAGGUAUUGAAUUUUUAUAUAUUCCGUCUUUGAAAAAUGAUCUUAUUGGGGGAUGUUUAUUUUCAAGGAUCAGAUAGAUAAAAAUAAAAGAUUAAUUUUUUGUUUACUUUGAUGUAUUAAAAUUUUGAGAUUUUUGAAGGCCCCUGUAUUUUUAUCAUUUGAGUUAAUUUUGUUUGAUUCUUAUAAAAAAUGUAAUAUUGGAGAAAUCUUAUUCUUGAAUGAUAAAAAUAAGAUAAGAAUUAAACAAAAUUAGUUUAGAAAUAUUUAAGGGUCUUGAGAUAUUCUAAAGUUUUAAUUGAUAUAAAUAAAAGAUGGGAUAAUUGCCUAUAAAUUCAUAAUGUUUUUCAGAAAUUGGUUAUUGAUCUGAAAAAUUGACUUUUAAAUUCAUAAUGUUUCAAAUUUAUUCGGUGAUCGAUUUUUUCUUACGCCGAUGCUGGAAAUGAUAUGGUGGCAGCCAGAAUUGACACCUAGAUACAUUUUUGACAUAAAAAAAAAAAUCCCCCUCCCAUCGUCCUCCCCUUCCCCCACCCCAAAACCCUAAUUUCCCUAACCUUCACCCGACACCCCCUGUCACCACCGCCGUCGGUGUCGGUGCCCCCCUCCCAUGGUUGCCCCUUGUUAUUCACACACGUUGAGACGCGCGACUUUAUUGUUUCGAUCAUAUCUUCCUUGUUUGAAUUUCAAUUUGCGAUUCGUUUGCACUCACAAACUCGUAUCGAGAUGAUAUACAACUUCUAUUUCAGACCAUUCUUUCAAAUUCAGACUUAAUGUUUCUGUAAAUUCCAUCAAAGUUAGAGAAAAUAUCAUAUUUCACAAGAUAAAGCAAUAUAAGCAAAAAUCAAUCAUUCAACACUCAAUUUCCUAUAAAAUUGAUAUCAUAUAAACAUGGAAACAUGAGUGUUAUCAAAGAGUUUAUAAAUUUCAUCAUAUUAUAAGAUAUUAUAACUUUUCAAGAGCUUAUAAGUUAUUAAAGUAUUUGAAUAAUCGAGUUCAUAAGCUCUAUAAAAAUGUACUCCCUCCGUCCACCAAAGAUAUGCCACAAUUUUCUUUUUCGUCUAUCCACAAAAAAUAUGCCACAUUCAUUUUUAGUAGUAGGGUCCACAUCAUUCCAUUCACAUUUAAAGUGGGACCCUUACUCUACUACCAACUUCACUAUCAUUUUAUUAAAGUUCGUGCCGAAAGUAAAGUGGCAUAUCUUUGGUGUGGUGGACGGAGAGAGUAACUCAAUUGCCUCAUUUAGUCUCAACAUAGAGUAUAGUACUUUUCUUUUUGGGACAAUCUCAUACUUGGUCCUUAUAAUUCAAUCUCACAAUCACUACUUCUUAUCAAAAAAUCAUCCCUAUCAUGAUCCACACUCAACCCUUACAGUAUACAUGAUGAUAUCCUUUCUCCAUUAAAAAGCCAUCUAUAAAUUAUUUUAUUAAAAUUCGUGUAAUUCACAAAGAAAUACAAUCUAUAUAAUAUAUAAAGGGAAAAUUGCACCUAAAUACACAAACUUUGUCAAAAAUCCAUAUUUGACGCGAAGUUAGGAUUUUACAUUUUAAUACACCAAUUUAAGAAGUUGUUCAAUUUUGACACAAUUUUGAAUUCCGGCGACCGGGAUAUUGAUGUGGCAGCCGGAAUCGCCACGUCACACACACACUCCACCCUCUCUCUCUCACACCCCACUCUCUCUCUCUCUCCACACGUCAGCUUCCCCCACCCCCUCCCCCCGGUCGGACCCUCCCCCUCCCCCAGAACCGCGUCGCACCGCCGCCGUCAAGCCCCCAGCCACAAACCCUUCCUCCCUCCCUCCCUCCUGCCCGUCAGCCUCUUCCCCCUCCCAAAACCGCGUCGCACCCGCAGCCACUUCCCUCACCGACUUCCCCCACCACCAUCACUCUCUCUCACCGCCGCCCCUGCUCUCCCCACCACCACACCUCUUCUUCCACUUCCUUCACCCCUGCUCUCUCCACCACCACACCUCUUCCUCCACCGCCUUUCCCCACCACCAUCACAGAUCCGCCGCCCCUGCUCUUCCCCACCACCACACCUCUUCCUCCACCGCCUUCCCCACCACCGCACUCCCCACGACUCUCUCCCUCCACCGCCCUUCCCCAUCAACAAAAUCGACAAGGGAUUAGGCUCGAUUUCUCCUCAAAUCCAAAACCCAAAACCCGAAUUCACCUCUGCAAUUCCCCGAUUCAGUACUCCGACAACGCGUUUCUGAGGACCACGACCCCGAUUCGGUACUCCGACGAUGGGCUCGGCGGUUGUGGGGGAAGUGGCGGCGGGUGGUGGGGGAAGAAAAAGGGUCCGACGCGGUGGGAGAAGGGGGAGGGUCCGACGGCCGCCUGCCACGCUUCUUCUCCAGCCCCCUCUGCUGGGGCGGUGGAUAUGUGAUGGUGGUGGGGAAAGGAGGGGAGGAGGAGGAAGUGUGGUGGGGAGAGCAGGGGCGGCGGUGGAAGAUGUGGUGAGAGAGAGUGAUAGUGUNGACAAGAAGCAAAGAAGGUUCAAACAUGAAUCACGUUGUGGGAUUGAUUCCUCUUGAAAGAAGAAAAAUAAUAGUGAUCAAAACUCAUGCAAACAAAAAAAACAUAACUGUCGAGGAAGAUUGCCUUUUACUUUCAAGGAAAUAGGAUUUAUAUCUAUCACAUUAAAUUAAUUUUGUUGACAAGUAUAGUAACUGAAUUUCAAAACAUAAGUCCCCAACGGAAGCAAAGAACAAGAUGCAUCACCACUUUAUUCUUCUAAUUAUCAAAAUCUCUCACUCUCUUUAAUGUAUGAAGAAAAAAAAAAAGCCACACUUCGAUCUCUAUAUAAAGCCUAGAGAACUAACCAAAUGAACCACAACCAACUCUCCUCUCCUCUCACUACAACACACACAUAUCCAUUCCUGUUCCGAUGGCGGGUCGCGAUACCAUGCCGACAACCACCAAGAACCCCCAAUUGGCCGGCGAGAAGCUGCCACAGGGAGCCAAGACCCCGACCCUGAGUGGAGGAGCAUCCACUCAGAACCCUCUCGAUCACAGGAUGCAUAACCCUGUGAUCGAUCACAGGGUCCACACUCCCAUGGCGGAUCACAGUGUGAGGCCUAGCCACGAACUUGAUCACGUCUCCACGAAGCCCCUCUCCCUGAGAUCGGGCAUGACUGCUCGUGGCCACCCGAUGUCCGGGGAGCGCGGCUUCUUCUCGUCCGACGAGAGCGCCCUCAACAAGCAGAUCCAGGCGACUCAUGCACCAGACAUGGAGGAUAUGAACGUGAGGCCGAUCCUCAUCAUCAUCGAGGACAUCCUGCCGCCUCGCCCAGCCUUCAGGCGACGCUCACACUCCUACUACUGCUACUACUCAUGUAAGAUUGCCUCAAAUUCUCUAUUCCACUACAUUCAUUAUAACUAUAAGUUCAUACUUACUCAAUUGUUCAAUUUGUUUCCCUUGCGGGGGGCUCAGGCUCAUCCUCUUCUGGACAAGCCGGCCGAUAAGGUUUCUCACGGUGGUGCAUACCACGAUGAGAAGUCUUACCAGGCGAACUAUCGCGAUGAGAAGCCCUACCAUCAGCCUUCUUAUCGCGACGAGAAGGCCUACCACAACAACAUCUCGUAUCUCGACACAGAGAUAGUCAAAGUGCUAGCCUAUCCCAUCAACAGGGUCUCAUGUGAGGUACGUAUACCAAAAAACUCUGUUUAUUAUUUUUUAAGUUUGAAUUCAUAACACCUAAUUUUUUCCCUCCCCACACCAAAAACAGAUCGUCUGCAAAUCUGCCGGUGGGGGAGAAUCACACCAAGUGACAAUGGACCUCCUCAAAUCCCUAACAAGCUACACCUGGGACGCCAAGAUCGUGAUCGCCUUCGCGGCCUUCGCCAUCAACUACGGCGAGUUUUGGCUGGUGGAGCACCUCCACACCAAGAACCCCUUAGCCAAGAACAUCGCCACCCUCAAGGACCUACCGGACACCCUAGCCGUGGCCGGCGGGGGCGAGCUGAGGAAGCAAUUCGACGCGGUGAUCGACCUGCUCACCGAGAUACUCAAGGUCACUCACUGCAUCAUCGAGUUCAAGGAGCUCCCCCCUCUCUACAUCAGCACUCAGUCGCCGGAGAUCACCGCUGCCACCGCCCACAUCCCCUCCGCCGUCUACUGGAGCAUCCGAGGCCUCCUCGUCUGCGCCGCCACGCUCCUCAACAUCAUCGGCGACGGCCAUGAGUAAGCAAUCGCAUCUCCUCUCUCUCUCUCUAGAAAUUGAAUAAUUAAUUGAAUUAUCUCACUUAUUUGAUCAGGUACAUCAGCUCCACCUCUGCCUCGUGGGAGAUACUGAAUCUGGCCCACAAGCUCAAAGUCAUACUCGACCACUUACAGAAUCAAAUGAAGAUUUGCAAGGAAAUCAUUGGUGAGAAUCUCAAACCUUAAAAACUGCUAAAAUUAGUAACUUUAUAUACACACACACAUGAAUAUAUAGGUUAUGAUUAAAAUACAAACUCAUAUUAAAAUAGGAAUUACGAACUGUGAAAACAUGAUAAUAACAAAUUCAUUUAACAAAUUAUAAAUUCACUAUAAAUCUUCGUGAUCUAAGUAUUGAAAAUAAUUAUUCAUAUAUAUUUUUAUUUUAUCCAAUCCGGCUGAAUAUAUACAUAUAAAAAAAAUUGUUGGUGUGCAGAGAGGAAGAAGUUUGAAGAUGCCUACAUCAAGUUCAAGAGGCUUCUAGAAACAGCUCACAUCGACAACAUGCGAGUUCUUACCGAACUCUUCCGAUUCAAAGAAGAUCAAAGGCCGCUCUACGACGGCUCAAGAAGGACUAAUGUUGGUUUGCUAUAAUUAAUCAUUUCAAAUUUAAGUUGCCCUUUUUUUAAUUAUUAAAAAUAGAAGCGUCUUACAAACUGAAUUACACUUAUAUUAUUUAAUUAUUUUUUAAUUGAAUGAUAACGACAGGAGCAAUUGACGGUACUGAAGAUGAAGUACGUCCUGCUCCUGAUCUCGGAUCUGGAGCUCCCCCCGGAGGAGCUCCACGUGCUCCACAUCAUCCACAACGAGCGGUCGGUGAGGCACGACUACGAUGUCCUGUGGCUCCCGAUCAUGGCCCCGGGGAACGUCAUGACGGCCUUCGAGGAGAAGAAGUUCUAUGACCUCCGGAACAGCAUGCCCUGGUACUCCGCGGACCACCCAUCCCUUGUCAACCCGGUCGCCAUCAGGUAUGCCCGCGAGGAGCUUAAGUUCACCCAUAGGCCGAUGCUCGUGGUCCUCGACCCGCACGGAAAGCUCUCUAACCACGACGCCCUCCCAAUGAUGUGGAUCUGGGGCGCCAAGGCCUUCCCCUUCACCAAGGAUUGGGAGAGGAAGCUCUGGGAGGAAAGCGAUUGGAACAUCGAGCUCCUCGCAGAUCACAUCGAUCCCCGCAUCCAGGAAUGGGUAAGAGUUCAUACACGAAAAAUAGUCGUUCUCAUAUUGUAAAGAUAAAAAAAUAGCUAUAAAAAUUUCACUGCAAAGCGGUAAAAUAGUAAGAGUGGCCAAUUUUCUUUUAUCUUUUAUAUAUUAAUGGCUUGGUCAACUGACCAGCAAAAUAGUCAUUCUUACUAUUUUACCCUUUUACCCUGACUAUGUUCCUGGGCAGAUCAAUGGGAACAAGGUGAUCUGCCUGUACGGCGGGGACGACAUAGUCUGGAUCCGGAGCUUCACUACGGCGGCUCGGGCCGCGGCCCGGACCGUCGGGGUGACUCUGGAGAUGCUCUACGUGGGCAAACGGAACCCGAGAGAGAAGGUCCGGCAGUGCCACGAGGCGAUCACGCGGGAUAAUCUGAGCCACAUCUUCGCGCCGGAGUACUACGACUACGUGUGGUACUUCUGGGAGCGGCUGGCGAGCAUGUGGAACUCGAAGAAGCAGAUCGGGCGGACCGUGGACGACGACGUGAUCAUGAAGGGAAUCCUGGACCUGCUGACCUACGACAGCAGCGAGAAGGGGUGGGCGGUGUUCAGCCGGGGGAACGUCGAGAUCACGAUGGGGAUGGGGGAGAAGGUGCUGCCGGUGGUGGAGAGGUACGCGGACUGGGCGUACGAGGUGGACCACCCGGACAAGUUCGUGCCCGUGCUGGACAAGCACUUGUCCGGGUUCCACCCCGAGCACCACUGCCACCGCCUCAUCCUACCGGGGCAGGCAGGGUACAUACCCGAGACGGUGACGUGCACCGAAUGCGGGAAGACUAUGGACAAGUAUGUUAUGUACCGCUGCUGCACCGACUGAGGAUGAGGACGAGGAAGAGGACGAGGACGAGGACAGGGAGCGCCUCGCGAGGCCAGUGGAGAUAUAUAGAUGAAAUAAAAAUUUGAAGGUUGUCUUUUUUUUUUUAUUAUUAUUAUUGUUGUUGUUAUUGCUGCGCUUUUGUUCAAGAGUGUUGCUGUUGGUGGCUGCUGAGUGAUUUGUAUUACUACUAUUUUUAUAUCCAUCAAUAAGAUCUGCAUUGUUUGUUUUUUGUUUACAUUUCUCUCUUUCAUUUGCAUUGCUACAUAUUUGUGUGAGAUUUAUUCCACUUUCAUUCUGUUUUAAUUCUUUCUUGACUCUUGUAAUGUUUAUUUUCCUCUUUCUUUUUUUAUUCAAUCAUUUUUAUAAUGUUUCUAGAUAGUGUUGAUGGGAUUAGAACGUAUAUAUUCCUAUCAAAUAUGAUCAGAAUAUAUUGAUGUGUAUCAGCAGUGACGAAAAAAAAUUGCACUUGAUAUUCAAUGUAUCAUGUUUGACGUAAUAUUUUGUGUUUUACUUUCAAAUUUUUAUACUUCUUUAAAAAAAAUUCUUCAAUUUUAAUUUUAUAUGCUUUAGUUUAAUUUUGUGAUUAUUAACUACUCCGUCCGUCCCACUGUAUGUGGCUCAAAACUUUUCGGCACGGAAAUUAAGGAGAAAGUGUAAAAAUAUUUUAAAAUAUUAUUUAUUUCAUCAAAUAGGGUAUAUAAUUAUUUUUUUAAUAAUUUAAAUCCACUUUUAUUAAAUUAUAAUUCAUAAUAUUAUAAAAUAUUUUAUUUAUGUAAAAAUAUUAUUAAUAUAAUAGAUAAAAGUAGUAGGAUGUUGUAAAUGAGCCAAGCUACUCGUGAGUUAUUCGACGUUCGAUUCGAUAAAAGGUUGAUCGGUAAUUUAAUGAGCAGCUCGUUUAGCUAAAACAAGUUAAGCUUGAGCAUGACGAUAUUCGACUCGUUAGCUCGUUAAGUGAUUUAUCUUAAAAAUAUAAUAUUAUUAAUUAAAUGUCUUAUAUUUUAUACUAUAAAAUUAGUAAUAUUUGGAUUAAAUAUCUAAUUAGCAUCAUUUAUUUACAAGAUAGUAAAUAUAUUACGUUGUUGUGAAUAAAAUAAGUUAUAUAUUUGAAAAAUAACUUAUGUAUUAGGAAAAUAACUAAAAUUUUAAACAAAAAUUUUAAUUUAAAAUGCUCGAUUAGGCUUGGCAAUUUAGUCGACUCGAUUAAAGCUCGAUCGAUAAUUAAGCAAGCAGCUCAAUUAGCUAAACGACCCAAGCUUGAACAAGGCACUAUUCGGCUCGACUCGACUCGAUUACAUUGAUGGCACACAGAAAAUUACAAAACACUAAUUCUCAUCUCGAAAAAUUGAAUGAAAUAUGAUUAAAGAGUGGUACUGUUUGGGGCACGGGAUGGGCUAAUAUAUAAGUUUUAGUCCAAUAUUGUGUGGGCUUCUCAUAGUACAUGUCUUAAUAUUGUAGUGAGAAAUAAUAGUCAAUUAAAAUCUAAUCCAAUUAUAUCUAGGUAUUGAUAAUUAAGUAGUCUACUCCCUCCGUCCUAUAAAAAUAGUCUUAGGAAGGAGUGACACGGGUUUUAAUAAAAGUGGUUAAGUAUGUUAUGAGUGAAGAAAGUGAAGAAAGGGUCUCACUAUAAAGGUAGUGUUAAUAAUGAUAAUUAAUUGUAUUGUGAGUGGAGAGAUGGUCCCACCAUGUGGUAGAAUAUGUAAAUAAGUUAAUAUAUGGAGGAUAAUAUAUUGUGGGGUAUGCCAUGGAUCAGGAUUAUUUUUUGUGGAUGUACCAAAAUAAAAAAUUAUGACUAUUUUUACAGGUCGGAGGAAUAUGUACAAACCCUCCAUGCACAGCUAAAAUAAUGCCAUGCAAGUCCCUCAUUUCCAUGCAUAUUUUGUAGACACCCCUCACGUUUUCUUUUUGCAACUUGGCUUAGAUUUAUAUGUAUAUAUGAAUAUAGUAUUGCCCUACAAAUUUGAGAUGUUCACAUUGAUUUAAGGGCUAAUGGCCGCUAAAUCCUAUAACUAUUUUGGUUUUCGCGUUUUGCAUCGUUUUCAAAAAAUCUGCCUCAGUAUAUCACAACUAAUCCUCCUGUCGCGAUUUGCAUCAUGCGAAGUUUUUCGGCAAAAUUGAAGCUGACUUGGCAGCCGGACUAAUCUACGUGGCAUAGAAUUCCGAUAGGCAACGUGGCGUCGUUUUGCCUCACGUUUAUUUGAUUUUAUUACUAUCAAAACGUCGUCAUUUUUGGUCUUUUCAGAAUUUACAUCCCUAAUCUUAUAACUAGGGUUCUGUUGGAUUGAACCUCACCAUCACCGGAGCUUUCUCAAAGGAAGAGGAGGACGUCGGCGUGCGUCCGACGAACCUCAGAAACAGCAAGCAUCGCCGGAUUUGUAAGGAAGGAAACGACGGGUUUGAUUUCAUAAAUGAGAGGAAGACUCCCUUCCCUUCUUCUCCAAUUGAUUAUGAGAGAGAGGCGACUUGAGAGCGAGGGAGAAGAAGCCACAACGGUGGCGGCGACGACCCCUAAAUUGGAAGAAUUAGGGCUUGCCCCUCUGCCUUGAGCAUGGGUAUUCGGAGAGGUCGUUGGGCAAGGAUGUGGCGCCGACAUUCGUCGGAGAAGAAGCCACAACGGUGGCGUCGGCGACCCCCUAAAUUGGAAGAAUUAGGGCUUGCCCCUCUGCCUUGAGCCGUUGAGCGUGGGAAUUCGGAGAGGUCGUUGGGCAAGGAUGUGGUGCCGACAACAGUCGACGACCGCCGGAGUCGACGAUCGCCGGAUUCGAGAGGCGGGCGCAAGCAGCGGAACUCGCGAGAAAGAUGGAAGUGGGUCGUGCGUAUUUGAGAAAUUAACAGUGUAAGUUGAGACUCAACAGGGAAUUUGGAAUUGAGAAGAGAGAUUGAUGGGUGGCAGUACAGCCUCGCCGACCCUCAGCAGCGACGCCGCUGCCAGAAUUUCAAGGGAGGUGGUGGAGCUUCUGAAAUUUUACUGUGCCUGUGAAACGGCGUCGUUUUGUGCAAUGCAAAACGAUGUCGUUUCACUACACGACAUUAAAAAAAAUAAUAACAGGUAGUUGCCAUGUAGAUGAUAAUCAACCUUGUCAGCAAAUAAAAUGCCACAUAGAUUAAAUUAUGUUGCCGGAAAACUUCGCCCGAUGCAAAUCGCGACUGGAGGGUUAGUUGUGAUAUACUGAGGCAGAUUUUUUGAAAACGAUGCAAAACGCGAAAACCAAAAUAGUUAUAGGAUUUAGAGGCCACUAACCCUUGAUUUAAAUCGGGAAAACAUUACUCUCCAAAAAUUAAAUCGGGUGAUCGGGAAAACAUAUAUAUUUAUAAUGUAAGAAUUUAUGUGAAAGAGAAUAAAGCUGAAUGUAUAGUUAAAGUUUCCGAUUCAUUUUCGAGGAUUGCGGAAAUUAUAAGGGGCGGAUUCAGGAAUUAUGACAGGGGAAUUGAAUUUGAAGGUACUUGCACGGGAGUUCGGAGACAAUAGUCAUCGAGAUUUGAGCCAAUUUUUUUGUAACAGUUUGUAUAGUUUGAUUUUUGUGCACAAGUGGAAUCCUAGCGGGUUUUAGGGUUAGAGCUCAAUCACUUGUAAUAAUAAAUAUUUUUUUUAAUUAAUUCAACAAAAUAUACAUUGAAAUCACAUAAAUAGCCACCUCUAUGUGUUUUUUAAAAAAAUUGUUCUUUCUUCUACAAAAAUAAACUAAUUGUCAUUAUUAGUUCACAAUCUUAUUGAACUAGAGAAUUGAUUCAAAUUGAGAAAUGAAAAUUAAUUAAGAGAGAAAAAUGGAGAAAAAUAACAUAAAUUUAACAAAUUAAUAUAACAAAUUAUUAUGAAAUGGAUUUGGAGGUGCUGGGAGGGGAAGGGUUUAUUGUGGACUAGGGUGGUGAAUUCGAUCUAUGGAGUUGUCCAGUGGGGGAAGGGUGGUGUGAAUCUGAGGGGAAUAGAGGGACGAAAAAUGGGUGGUGGUCGAAGAUUGUGGCAGUGGGGAGGAGGGAGUCGGGAUCUUGGUUUAGGGAGCAUAUCCGACGGAGUCUUGGUGAUGGGUUUGAUACACAUUUUUGGGAGCACUUGUGGGCGGGCACGCAACCUCUUAGCACUUCUUUCCCUAGGCUUUACCGGCUGUGUGCUAAUAGAGAGAUCAGUGUUGGCGAGGCGGGAAGAUGGGUUGAGGGGGCGUGGAUCUGGGGUUUGCAGUGGAGCAGAGUUUUGAGGGAGAGAGAGGAGGAGGAGGUCAGACAACUAACGGAUGUUAUUUCUUCGUGUGUUCCUGUUGCAGGUACUAAAGAUGGCUGGAUAUGGGAAGCUUCCAAGGAUGGAAGAUACUCCAUUAAAUCAGCGUAUGAGGUGAUUAAAGCUCAACGGAGUGAAAAUGGUGUUCAACGGUCUGAUCUGAAAGUUCUGGCGUCGGUGUGGAAAACGCCUGCCUCACAGAAAGUAAUUGUUACUUCGUGGAGACUGCUGCCCAAUCGUCUUCCAACGUGCGACAAUCUGAGGAAAAGGAAGAUCAAUAUGAGCGAGGAAGAUCUACGGUGUUGCUUCUGCCAAGAUCACGAGGAGGACACAAAUCACCUGUUCAUCUCGUGUCCAAAAACCCAGGAGCUCUGGGACGAGAUCCAACGGUGGACCGGGAUCAGCACGGCCCAACCUUUUGCGGCAGCUGCACAUUGGUUAAAUUUCAGCGAGUGUGGACAAAACAAGAAAGGUAGGAAGCUACUCAAGGCAAUUUGGAUGAGCUGCUGUUGGCUUCUUUGGAAGAGGAGGAAUGAGAUUAGGUUCGAAGGAAAAACGUGGGAGGUUAACAAUUUGAUUUUGGAAAUCAAGGUUAGAGUGUGGAGCUGGAAUAAAAUCUUUGGUGUGGUUGAUUUUGAUUUGAAUUUCGCUCAGUGGUGCUCUAAUGGGCUAAUGCCACGAGUGCUGUAAGUUUUUGUUGGGUACCUCUGGUACCAUAACCUUUUUUUUUUAUCUUUUUAUUCAGUUUUACUUGAUCAAAAAAAAAAAAAACAAAAAAAAAAAUACAGCAAAAUGUUAAGCAAUUAGUGUUAAUUCUACAUUAUUAAAAUAAUUUGUUAUGUUCUGUCUCUCUCGUCUGAUUUCUUUUAUAUAUACAUUGAGCUUUAAAUUUUGGCUGUUUAUAUUGUCUUAAUUAGUACUUCCUCCCUCCCAUUACAAAUGUCUCAAUUUUUUAUAAUGGGAUGUUCCAUUACAAAUGUCUCAUUCCUUUUUUGACAAAAUAUUCUCUCUCUAUACCUAAUAUUUAAACAAUUUUCACCAACCCACUUUAUCUACUUUUUACAUAUUUCUUAAUCUCCGUACCCAAAAGUAAUGAGACGUUUGUAAUGGACAGAGGGAGUAUUAAAUAGUUUGAUAAAAAUAAAUGAGAGCCACAUAUAUAGUAUUCCCAUCCACAAAAUGAGUACCCAUUUGUGGACGACACAAGUUUUAAAAAAUGUAUUGAGUGUGGUGUUAGUGGAAUAAAGGUCUCACUUUUUUAGGGUAUUAAUUAAAGAGUUGUGUGUGGUACAUUUGCUAAAAAGGGAAAUGGGUACUCAUUUCAUGGACGGAGGGAGUAUAUUAAUGCAGAAAGCUCAAUUCUCUGUGUUGGUAUUUGACAAAAUAACAUGUACUUAUUUUUCUUCACUCUUAAGCGCCUUAAUUACAUCUCAUUAAUUUAAAAAUUUACACCUUAAUAAACUCUAUAUAUGGAUCAUUUUGAAUUUUUAUGAGAGUGAAAUUAUCUCUUUGACAGUGUUUACAAUUUAGUAUAAAUUAUUGGGUAAAUAUGAGUUUUUGGCCCAUCCUUUGAGCGUUUUCUCAAAAAUAUCUCAUCUUAAGCAUAUUUACAAAACAAUACCCAUCGUUUAAUUUUUUUCUUAUUUGUGGCCCACAAAAAUAAUCCGGCGACCGGAUUUUGACGUGUUCGACCAAACGCCAUGUUGGCAUACACGUGUAAUUAAAAAAAAAAAAACUAAUGAAAAUCCACUAAGUCAAAAUCACAUCUCCAGUGUUGAAGAAAAAAAAAUGUUUUCUUCAUCUCCUCUGCCACCCCUUUCCCUCCAGAUGGGAUCCUCUGUCCCACAAUAUUGUGUGUACCACGUGUACCACUCUUCAUUUCUUUGUUUUAUAAAUUGUUUUUUAUGAAAAUAAAAAUUAUUAUUAUAUUAGAAACUCUAAUUAAUAUUUAUCAUUGAAAAAUUAAAAUUUAAAAAAUUAUAUACCCUAACUUUGAAUUAAUGAACCCAAAUAAUCUAUUAUUAAUUCAAAUAAAUAUAAAAAAAUAAUUAUAAACCCUAAAUGGAUGAGUGAACCCUUGUUAAUUAUCUUUAUAUUAUAUAAAAGCAUAAUAAAUUAAAAUUGAAUAAAAAUUAAUUUAAAAAUAUAAAGAAAUGAAGAGUGGUACACGUGGUACACACUAUGUUUUGGGACAGAGGAUCCCCAUUUGCCUUUCCCUCUCCCAUCUCCUCCGCCGCGCCUUCCCCUCUCCCAUCUCCUCUUCCCCUUCCACUCUCAAAUCUUGUGCCACACACUCGAAUCCUAGGCUUUGAGCGAGGCCAACCACCUCGACCUCGUUGGUCAACCGCCGCGAUCUAGAUCUGGAAAUGAGGAGCGUCCGAGGCCGAUGGUGGCCGCGCGCCGACGCGGACUCCCUCUCCAAGGAGUAGGCGCUGCGUAGAAGCUUCGUGAAGUUUAAUUCAAGCGGAGAAGGUGGAGAACGGGGAGGGAUCGAUGGAUAGAUCGGUGGUGUGAGCUCUGAGGCCGACGAUCAUUCCCGGCGAAGAGUGGGCCGAGCACGUCGGUGAUGCUGUGGAAGUGGUUUUCGGCAUGUGCGCUGGUGGAGAAGAGGAUGCCCGGGGCGGCGAGGGUUUGGGUGCGAUGAGGGAGUUUGUCAGCUGCCUUGAUUUGGAAAGCAGAGACGGUGGUCAUGGCGGCGGCGUCGUAUUUUUGGGGGUGGGGCUUUACUGUGAUGGAGGUCGGGUGGUGGUUUGAAGGUGGUAUGAAAAUGGUGGAUGAGACGCCGUGGAUGCGUACGUCGCCGUUUAAUUAGUACACAUCGAGUUUGAGUGUUUUCUGCCCAAUUCCCCUCAUCCCCAUGGAAGUCAUCGUCUUCAUCAUCUUUAGAGUUUUCUUGGAAGUUUUUGGGGGUGUUGAAGUAGAUUUGAAGGGGGCAGAUGAGGGGAUCCGACGGUGGCAGGGGCAGCGGUGGGGGAUAUCUGGCAGGGGUACAUCUGACAAGGGGGAUAUCCGGCAGCGGUAGAGGUGGGGAUCCGGCAAGGGCAGGUGUAGUGAUUGGAAUUAGUUUUUUUUCUUUUUUUUUAAUUACACGUGUAUGCCAACAUGGCGUUUGGCCGGACAAGUCAAAAUCCGGUCACCGGAAUAUUUUUGUGGGCCACAAAUAAAAAAAAAAUGAAACGAUGGGUAUUGUUUUAUAAAUAUGUCUAGGAUGGGAUAUUUUUGAGAAAACGUCCAAACGAUGGGCCAAAAACUGAUAUUUACCCUAAAUUAUUUCAUUUGUAUAUUCCUGUAUGAUAUGGAAAGUUAGAUAUUCAAAUUCUAUACGACUAAUUAAUCAA